rnacentral:rRNA from 1 species
UACGUAGGCAGCAAGCGUUGUUCGGAAUUACUGGGCGUAAAGAGUGUGUAGGCGGUGCUCUAAGUUCGGUGUGAAAUCUCCCGGCUCAACCGGGAGGGUGCGCCGAAAACUGGGAGGCUAGAGUGCGGGAUGGGAGAGUGGAAUUCCUGGUGUAGCGGUGAAAUGCGUAGAUAUCAGGAGGAACACCGGUGGUGCAGACGGCUCUCUGGACCGUAACUGACGCUGAGACACGAAAGCGUGGGUAGCAAACAGG